rnacentral:rRNA from 1 species
GAAUUUUGGACAAUGGGCGAAAGCCUGAUCCAGCCAUGCCGCGUGAGUGAAGAAGGCCUUCGGGUUGUAAAGCUCUUUCAGGUGGAAAGAAAUCGGGCGAGAUAAUACCUUGCCUGGAUGACGGUACCAUCAGAAGAAGCACCGGCUAACUACGUGCCAGCAGCCGCGGUAAUACGUAGGGUGCGAGCGUUAAUCGGAAUUACUGGGCGUAAAGCGUGCGCAGGCGGUUUGCUAAGACAGGUGUGAAAUCCCCGGGCUUAACCUGGGAACUGCGCUUGUGAUUGGCAGGCUUGAGUACGGCAGAGGGGGGUGGAAUUCCACGUGUAGCAGUGAAAUGCGUAGAUAUGUGGAGGAACACCGAUGGCGAAGGCAGCCCCCUGGGCCGAUACUGACGCUCAUGCACGAAAGCGUGGGGAGCAAACAGG